rnacentral:rRNA from 1 species
UACGUAGGGCGCAAGCGUUGUCCGGAAUUAUUGGGCGUAAAGAGCUCGUAGGCGGUCCGUUACGUCGGGAGUGAAAACCCGGGGCUCAACCCCGGGCUUGCUUUCGAUACGGGCAGACUAGAGUAUGGCAGGGGAGACUGGAAUUCCUGGUGUAGCGGUGAAAUGCGCAGAUAUCAGGAGGAACACCAGUGGCGAAGGCGCCGCUCUGGGCCAACACUGACGCUCAUGCACGAAAGCGUGGGGAGCAAACAGG